rnacentral:rRNA from 1 species
GACGUAGGGGGCGAGCGUUGUCCGGAAUCACUGGGCGUAAAGAGCUCGUAGGCGGGGUUGCACGUCUUGGAGUAAAUCCAUCUGCUUAAUGGAUGGGUCGUCUGAGAUACGGCAGCUCUUGAGGACAGAAGAGGAAAGCAGAAUUCCGGGUGUAGCGGUGAAAUGCGCAGAUAUCAGGAGGAACACCGGUGGCGAAGGCGGAUCUCUGGGCCUUACCUGACGCUGAGGCGCGAAAGCUAGGGGAGCGAACAGG